GUACACGCUGUGACUAGCAUAUCAAUAAGCGGAGGAAAAGAAACUAACAAGGAUUCCCCUAGUAACGGCGAGUGAAGCGGGAAGAGCUCAAAUUUGAAAUCUUAAAGGGUUUCCCUUUACGAAUUGUAGUUUAAAGAAGUGUUUUCUGUUGAGGUUUUGGUAAAAGUUCUUUGGAAUAGGACAUCAUAGAGGGUGAGAAUCCCGUAUUUGACCUUUACUUUCAACUUUGUGAUACACUUUCAAAGAGUCGGAUUGUUUGGGAAUGCAGUCCAAAAUGGGUGGUAAAUUUCAUCUAAAGCUAAAUAUUGGCGAGAGACCGAUAGCGAACAAGUACCGUGAGGGAAAGAUGAAAAGAACUUUGAAAAGAGAGUUAAACAGUACGUGAAAUUGUCAAAAGGGAAGCGUUUGACACCAGUGUUGUUUUUCUGAAAAUCAAUUAAAGAGCUGUUUAUGCUAAGUUGUUUAGACUUUAUCAGCUAUCUGUUUAGUUUUGAGCUUUUCUUUAAUGCACUUUUCAGUUAACAAGUCAACAUCAAUUUCUUUUGCUGUAAAAAAGCUUGAGGAAGGUGGCUUGAGAUUCGUCUUAAGUGUUUAUAGCCUCUUGCCUAUGCAGUCGGAGAGAUUGAGGUCUGCAGCGUAGAUCCUUCGGGGCUAAAUGCAUUUGUGCUAAGUUAUAGCAUUUUAUAGACAACUUGUUGACUAUGAUUUGUCUUGUAGCUUACUCGCUUAUGUUAUUCUACCUACGCUUAGGAUGUUGAGUCGUAGAGCACGCAG
rnacentral:rRNA from 1 species